rnacentral:rRNA from 1 species
UACGUAGGCAGCAAACGUUGUUCGGAAUUACUGGGCGUAAAGAGUGUGUAGGCGGUUCUGUAAGUUUGGUGUGAAAUCUCCUGGCUUAACUGGGAGGGUGCGCCGAAAACUGCAAGGCUUGAGUACUGGAGAGGAUAGCGGAAUUCCUGGUGUAGCGGUGAAAUGCGCAGAUAUCAGGAGGAACACCGGUGGCGAAGGCGGAUCUCUGGGCCAUUACUGACGCUGAGGAGCGAAAGCGUGGGGAGCGAACAGG